rnacentral:tRNA from 1 species
GGGGGUGGAUGGGACCUGGUGGUUCCUGCGGUCUUCAAAACCGUCUGUUGGGCGUUAACCCGUCCAAGGUGGGUUCGAUUCCUACACACUCCCGCCA